UGUAACUGUGUUCGAGAUUGUUUGUUUUUACCGGUUUUUAGUUUUUACGAGGCAAAUUCUACCACAAAUUUGAUACGUAAAAACAAGUCCGUAGUUGUAGACUAAUCACGGUUGUUUAGUGUUACAUAAAUUUUUUGAUUCUACUGUUGCUAGGUAUAUUGUGUCUGACUUUCUGUUGUGUUGUCCGAUUAUCCUAAGGUGUUUGUUCAUAGAAGGUCAUUGGUAUUCCCAAUUGACAACAUCCUGACUAUUUCAUAUAUGUACGAGUACAUCUACUAGUACUAAACACAACUUUAGCUAUCAGACAUCAGCUGCUUUAUGACCCGAAAAUUUUCGAUGGAUGAAACAGGCCCUCUCUAACAGAUAAAGGUAGAACUGUACUGCUAUACUUGAACUAGCCUACACGUGUAAUUGAAACAGUCUGUGGCUAUUUUCACAAAAGAAAUAAGACAACCAUCAAGAUUCUACUAUGUGGAUUGGCUAAGAUCAUCUAUUAAUCCUGCAUCGCUAUUAAGUAUUCGAUGGUGGAAAACUGGAAACUGACGAGAGAUCAGUGACGAUAGUCAUACGAGAUAGUCAUCAUACAAUAAUUCUGGCAUUAUUACGAAAAUUUGAUCAUCCGAGAUAGUCAGCAGUACCUCUCACUGGCGUGCCGUCCUUUCGUCGCUCCGAUUGAGCCUGCACCAUGGCUGAUCCAACUACGCGGCCAGCAUCAUUCGACUACCCAACUGACUGCCGGUGGGUCAACGACAGCCAUGUGAAAUUUCCCCCAAAUGACUGUCAAUGCAUGGAAAGGAAAGGAAGUGAGUUUUCCAGAAAUCAUCAUCGUUCGGCUUUAUUUAACGCGAAGCUAUUAAAGAAAACUCCAGACGAUACAAAGUUUCAUCAAAACUCUCAAUAAGGAAAAAGUAGAGAAAAGAAAACUUUAGUGUGACAAGAUGGAAAACGAAACAAUGUUGGGAGGGUCGAGAAUCUGCUGGAGAUAUCACUUCUGAACUAGUGAACAGCCUAAAAUUUUCUAAAUUUAUUGCUCAUUGGCCAGCAAGCAACAAGGCAACAUCUGACGAUUCUGAUCUUGCCAUGAAUGGAAGAGAACCCUUGGUGCAAGAUCAUAAUUCGGUUAACUUUUGAAGAGAAAGUGAGGAGAAAAUACUUCAAGGAUCUCAUUCCUCCAAGAAUUAUGCAGAUUUGUUCCCGGUUUACCCUCGCCGCUGUUCGAUAGACUUUAUCAAUUGGCGGGAAAUGACGGGUGGUCGGACGCGCUGAAAUUCAAGAUUGAUAAAUUAUUUUAAUGUUUAUAAAGUACAAGUGCAUUUCUGUGGCCCCGUUUCCCUAACUAACCACUAACCAACGCCCGCCGGUGGUCACUCACCCGCUGUGAAACCAGGA